rnacentral:rRNA from 1 species
UACGAAGGUCCCAAGCGUUAUCCGGAUUUAUUGGGUUUAAAGGGUGCGUAGGCGGCCCUGUAAGUCAGUGGUGAAAUACUCCAGCUUAACUGGAGGGGUGCCAUUGAUACUGCAGGGCUUGAGUGGAGUCGAAGUAGGCGGAAUUGACGGUGUAGCGGUGAAAUGCUUAGAUAUCGUCAAGAACACCGAUAGUGAAGACAGCUUACUAGGCUUCUACUGACGCUGAGGCACGAAAGUGUGGGGAUCAAACAGG